UGAGGUCGUAUUUUCUU
rnacentral:miRNA from 1 species